UACACGGUCCUUAGAUCCUCCAGCCGGGACGCUUGUCCACCAACUUGACCGGUUGGCGAUGGCUGGAGCAUGAGUCAUUGCCGUGUGACAGUAGUAUACCUGAGCGGCAGCCACC
rnacentral:snoRNA from 1 species